rnacentral:rRNA from 1 species
AAACUAAUUUAGUUUGGCGGCAUUUCAUCUAUUUAGAGGAAUUUGUCCUUUAAUCGAUAAUCCACGUUAAAUUUUGCUUUAAUCUAAAAUUUAUAUACCGCCAUCUUAAGAAUUAAUUUAAAAAUAUUAACCCAAUAAUUAAUAAAAAGUUAGGUCAAGGUGUAAUCUAUAUUAAAGAAUGAGAUGAAUUACAUUAAAUAAUAUUUAAAGAUUAUUAAUAAAUAUAUAAAUAUAAAUAAGGAUUUAAAAGUAAUAUUUCAAUAAUAAUAAUAAAAUAUGAUAAAGAUAAUAAAUGUGCACACAUCGCCC